AUUGAACGCUGGCGGCAGGCUUAACACAUGCAAGUCGAGCGGAGAUGAGGUGCUUGCACCUUAUCUUAGCGGCGGACGGGUGAGUAAUGCUUAGGAAUCCGCCUAUUAGUGGGGGACAACAUUCCGAAAGGAAUGCUAAUACCGCAUACGCCCUACGGGGGAAAGCAGGGGAUCUUCGGACCUUGCGCUAAUAGAUGAGCCUAAGUCGGAUUAGCUAGUUGGUGGGGUAAAGGCCUACCAAGGCGACGAUCUGUAGCGGGUCUGAGAGGAUGAUCCGCCACACUGGGACUGAGAAACGGCCCAGACUCCUACGGGAGGCAGCAGUGGGGAAUAUUGGACAAUGGGCGGAAGCCUGAUCAAGCCAUGCCGCGUGUGUGAAGAAGGCCUUUUGGUUGUAAAGCACUUUAAGCGAGGAGGAGGCUACCUGGAUUAAUACUCUAGGAUAGUGGACGUUACUCGCAGAAUAAGCACCGGCUACUCUGUGCCAGCCGCCGCCGUAAGAC
rnacentral:rRNA from 1 species